CGUGUAGGCGGUUGGUCAAGUCUGGUGUGAAAGCCCGGGGCUUAGCCCCGGAAGUGCGCUGGAAACUAGCCAACUUGAGCGCGAUAGAGGAGGGUGGAAUUCCUGGUGUAGCGGUGAAAUGCGUAGAUAUCAGGAGGAACACCGGCGGCGAAGGCGGCCCUCUGGGUCGUUGCUGACGCUGAGACGCGAAAGCGUGGGGAGCAAACAGGAUUAGAUACCCUGGUAGUCCACGCUGUAAACUAUGGGUACUAGGUGUUCGGGGUGUUGACCCCCUGAGUGCCGACGCUAACGCAUUAAGUACCCCGCCUGGGGACUACGGCCGCAAGGCUAA
rnacentral:rRNA from 1 species